CCCUUCCGGUAAGGGGAACCUGCGGAAGGAGCAUUCAUAUGAUUUACUACUACACUGCGUGAGCGGAACGAAAACAAAAACACCUAAAAUGUGGAAUAUAGCAUAUAGUCGACAAGAGAAAUCUACGAAAAACAAACAAAACUUUCAACAACGGAUCUCUUGGUUCUCGCAUCGAUGAAGAGCGCAGCGAAAUGCGAUACCUAGUGUGAAUUGCAGCCAUCGUGAAUCAUCGAGUUCUUGAACGCACAUUGCGCCCCUCGGCAUUCCGGGGGGCAUGCCUGUUUGAGCGUCGUUUCCAUCUUGCGCGUGCGCAGAGUUGGGGGAGCGGAGCGGACGACGUGUAAAGAGCGUCGGAGCUGCGACUCGCCUGAAAGGGAGCGAAGCUGGCCGAGCGAACUAGACUUUUUUUCAGGGACGCUUGGCGGCCGAGAGCGAGUGUUGCGAGACAACAAAAAGCUCGACCUCAAAUCAGGUAGGAAUACCCGCUGAACUUAAGCAUAUCAAUAAGGCAGAGGAAC
rnacentral:rRNA from 1 species